AGCGAACGCUGGCGGCAGGCUUAACACAUACGAGUCGAGCGGGCACUUUCGGGUGUCAGCGGCGGACGGGUGAGUAACGCGUGGGAACGUGCCCUCUGGUUCGGAAUAACUCAGGGAAACUUGAGCUAAUACCGGAUACGCCCUUUUGGGGAAAGGCUUGCUGCCGGAGGAUCGGCCCGCGUCUGAUUAGCUAGUUGGUGAGGUAACGGCUCACCAAGGCGACGAUCAGUAGCUGGUCUGAGAGGAUGAUCAGCCACACUGGGACUGAGACACGGCCCAGACUCCUACGGGAGGCAGCAGUGGGGAAUAUUGGACAAUGGGCGCAAGCCUGAUCCAGCCAUGCCGCGUGAGUGAUGAAGGCCUUAGGGUUGUAAAGCUCUUUUAUCCGGGACGAUAAUGACGGUACCGGAGGAAUAAGCCCCGGCUAACUUCGUG
rnacentral:rRNA from 1 species